AUGACUCUUUGUGACGAACUAUCUCAAAUUAUAAGGAAUUUUUGGUGGGGUGAUGAGGAGAAUAGAAGAAGAACUCAUUGGUUGGCUUGGGAAAAAUUAACGAAGUCAAAAGGUGAAGGGGGUAUGGGAUUUCGAGACCUCGGGUUUUUCAAUCAAGCACUUUUGGCCAAACAAGCUUGGCGUUUGUUGGUUUUUCCAGACUCUUUGUGUGCAAAGGUGAUGAAAGCUAAAUAUUAUCCUCAUGGGCAUCUUAUUGAUAUUGUCUUCCCUCAAGCGACUUCGCUUACGUGGCAAGGUAUUAUGCAUGGACUCGAGUUGUUGAAAAGGGGUAUCAUCUCGAGAAUCGUCGAUGGUGCUAGUAUAAAUAUUUGGAGGGAUAAUUGGCUUCCGAGGGAUUCUGACCUAAAAUUUUCUGCUAAGAGGACCAGAACGAGGGUCAAAUGGGUUGCUGAUUUAUUCAUGAGUGGCUCAAGGAGAUGGGAUGAGAAUUUAAUCAGACAUCUGUUUUACCCUCGUGAUGCGGAGGAAAUUUUAAAGUUACGCAUUCUGAAUUUGAACGAGGGUGACUUCAUCGCCUGGCACCAUGAGAAAAAUGGGUUGUUUUCAGUGAAGAGUGCGUAUAUGUUGGCCCUGAAUAUUAAGGACUCGGACAUGGCACUGGGGAACUCCAGUGUAUCUGUUAAUGGGAAAAGGAGGCUCUGGAAUAUUAUUUGGAAGGCUAAUGUACCUUAG
rnacentral:rRNA from 1 species